rnacentral:rRNA from 1 species
GAUGAACGCUGGCGGCGUGCCUAAUACAUGCAAGUCGAGCGAACAGACGAGGAGCUUGCUCCUUUGACGUUAGCGGCGGACGGGUGAGUAACACGUGGGUAACCUACCUAUAAGACUGGGAUAACUUCGGGAAACCGGAGCUAAUACCGGAUAAUAUUUCGAACCGCAUGGUUCGAUAGUGAAAGAUGGCUCUGCUAUCACUUAUAGAUGGACCUGCGCCGUAUUAGCUAGUUGGUAAGGUAACGGCUUACCAAGGCAACGAUACGUAGCCGACCUGAGAGGGUGAUCGGCCACACUGGAACUGAGACACGGUCCAGACUCCUACGGGAGGCAGCAGUAGGGAAUCUUCCGCAAUGGGCGAAAGCCUGACGGAGCAACGCCGCGUGAGUGAUGAAGGUCUUCGGAUCGUAAGACUCUGUUAUUAGGGAAGAACAAACGUGUAAGUAACUGUGCACGUCUUGACGGUACCUAAUCAGAAAGCCACGGCUAACUACGUG